rnacentral:pre_miRNA from 1 species
AUGGCUGGCGGCUGGGUGCCUUCUACUGGUGCUGUGCAAAGGCUUUCCCUAAGGCUGCUGUGAGCCUGUAGGGUUUCCCCCAGGCUACGAAGCUGG